rnacentral:lncRNA from 1 species
AGAUACUCCACUUUGAAACCCAGCCACUAUACUUUGAGAAAGUUAAGAAGUGACGAUGUUAGUUGGUCUCACCUGACAGCGUGCAUUGACUACUCAAUAUGAGUGAGAAAACCCUCACAUGAAUCUCACUUCCAACCUUCAUGCCACCCCAGUUCAUGCCAAGCAGAGAAGUCCUCACCAAGACCUACUCCAAUUAAAGAUUGGAAUCUAAUCACUGUCAAAGAAGCAUGGUACAGAAGCCAAUGCCAGCAGAAGCUUCCUGGCUUUCUGACAGACUUUUUAUUUGCAAGUGGAGUUUGAUCAUGUAAAGACAGAACUUCAGAUGGAUUAAUCCAUUAAUUCAUGAAAUAUUAUCUGAGUACCUAUUAUGUAAUAUACAUGGAUCUGAAAGUAAAAUAGUCCUUAACCUCAAGAACUUUGCAUUUUAUUGGGUAAGAAAGACAAUAAACACCUGAGCAAAUAAAUAAAUAAGGUCAAGUGGUUGUAAGAACUGCGGGAAAAAGGGUAGAAUAAAGACAUUGAAGAAAUAAUAUUAUUCGUCUAAGGUGGUCAGGGAUGCUGUCUCUGAAAAGGUGCUGUUUGAACAAAACCAUUAAAGAGUGCUGGUGUGAACAAUGUAGAACGUAUAGAGAAAUUUUUUUCUAAAUGAUACAACCGUAAUUGCAUGUUACUUAUUAAAGAAGGAUGCUUGCUGUGUUUGAGAAACUGUUGGAGGAAACCAUAUCUGCACUAAAAUAAGCAAAGGAAAGAAGAGAUGCUUGUGUGGGAAUAGAACAUUAUAUAGGAUAAUGUGAAGACACUGGCUUUUUUCUGAGUGUUUUUAAGGGUAGAGUUCAAAGGAAAAGUACAAGGGGCUUAUUAUGGAGUCCCUUUAAAUAACCCAAGUUUGAAACGAUGGUAACUUACACCAGUGUUAAGCAGUGGUGAUUAGCAGCUGUUGAAUUCUGGAGGUAGUUUUGAAGCUAAAAACUGUAAAAGAUCUGAUGGAUCAAAUGUUCAUAGAAGAGAAAGAAAAGCAUGAUGAAUCACCAUGAGGAUUGUGUCCUCUUACAAGAAUAAAGUUGUAAUUUAGUGAAAUGAGUAAUAGAGGAUGUGGUGGAUUAACUAGUAUCUUCCCCCAAAUUCCUAUCUACACAGAAUCUCAGAAUGUGAUCUUAUUUGGAAUCAGGGUAUUUCUAGAUCCUUAAAAUAAAGAUGUAGAUAAGAUGAUACUAGAUUAGGGCAGGUCCCAAAUCCAAUGAGGAUGUCCUUAUAAGAGACAGGAAAGGACACAGAGACACAAAGAGAAGAAGGCAAUGUAAAGACAGAGGCAGAGAUUGAAGUAAUGUCUCUACAAGCCAAGGGGCACCAAAGAUUACUGGUGAUCAACAGAAGCUAGGAGAAAGACAUGAAGUGGAUUCAUUUUCAUCACCUCUGGAAUAAAUCAAUUUUGACAACACCUUAUUUCAGGUGUCGAACUGAGAGAAUAAAUUUCUGUUGUAUUAAGCCACCAAGUUUGUGGUAAUUUGUGAUGGCAGCCUAAAAACAGACACAGAUGGGACAUGAGAAAUCUGGUGUUAGUGGGAAUCAGUAGUUUGAAUCUGUGCCAUAUUUAGCACACAUCUAAGAUAUUUAGUACACAUCUAAGAAAAAAUGACAAGUUGGCAAAUUUGGUCAUAGAAGUCUGGAGUUCAGAGGUCUAGUUAAGCCCAUUAUAAUUAUUGUGAAUCAUUAGGGAAUUGUUGAUAUUUAAAGUUGUCGGUGAACGACACCACCUGUGGAAUGAGUGUAACUGUGUAAAAAUUGAUAGGAGUAAUUGUCAUUGGCUAUGCCAACAUUUACCAUUCAAUGAACUGAGAAACCACCAAAGCAGAUUGAGAAGGAAUAAAAGCCAGUGGAGAGUUGCAAGCAGAAGAUCCUUUGCCAACUAAUAACAAGUUAGGUAAGAUGAAUAAUGGGAAUUGAAUAUUGAGUUUAAUAACAUGAAGAUUACUGUUGACAUUUUUAACAGUUACUUUCAUGGAGGGUAAGCAAGUAAGUACUUAAUUGGCUUGGGUUUCAAAGGAAAUGAACAACAUUUAAUUUGAAGUUCAAGUUUUGAUGUUUGGAAAGUUUGGGAGUUUGGAAAUAGGAACAGAAAAAUGGGACAGACACUUGAGGCGGAUGUAGGUUCAAAACAUAGGAUUGACUUUCCUAGUUCACAAUAAUAAAAAUAAAUAUCGGCUCUACUAAAAUGUUGAAGUCAUUCUAGUAUUCUUAGCGGACCACAGAUUUCUUGAGAAAUUUACAUGUUGACAUAAUUGCAACACAUUUGACUAUGAAUAAAUAACAGUAUAAUUAUGUAUUUUGAUAUUUUGUCCCAGUGCAUAAGUACAUAAAUACACAAAAAUUGUAUGUAAAAAUGGAAAAUAUGAGGGGACUAAUAUUAAAAUGUCUUCUACUCUGGCUCUAAACAACAAAAAAGCUCAACUAUCCAAAAUUUGAUAUAAAAUUAUGUGAUAGUUAAUUUCUAUAAUACUGAACCUACAGAACUUUAAACACUAUUGACGUCAUCACAUAAAUGUUAAUAUUGUCAAUUAUAAGAGCUUUUGCAUUAUUUUAUUAAAAUUAUUUGAAAUAUGGAAGAUGUUUUCCUCAUUCAGUUGUGUCAUAAUUAGAAACAAAGAGUAUAUAAUUUAUAUAAUGAUAAUAACAGACUUAAUAUUGGCAUGUACUCUAAGUACUGAUAAUGUUUGAUUAAUUUGUUAUGCCUCUGACUGACUCCCUCUGUAUACAUUUUUAUUAUCCUUUUAUGCUUUAUUUUUUAUCUGUUUUAUUAAAAUUACUUUAAACCAUGUUUGUGGGAAAAUUAAGUUGCAUGUAUUUUACUAAAAUCCUCAUAGAACUAAUUUAUUUUUGGUAUUUUUAUAGCACAUUAAUAUUUUUCUUUUAUUGAAAUUGUCCUGAUUUACUGACAUUACACUGUUUUCAUUGAGAUAAGAAAAUUUUGAAUAAAAUGUUCUACAAUGAUUUUACUCAUCAU